UGUUUGGCUCAGUCAGUAGAGUAUUGCGCUAGCAACGCUAAGGUCAUGGGUUCAGACCCCAGGGAGCAA